CCGGAAUGGCACCCGGUCCGGAAGGAAAUCAAAGACGCAUGCGCUAGAGCAACGACUUUUUGGUGAGAGAGUGAUUAUGAUAUCCCUAGAUUCGCUAUUGCGUUCACUCUGUGAUUUUCCGGUGUUGACAGGACUCUAUUUAGCACUGCAAGUUUGGAGAAUCUUAGAAAGAAUAUGGUAGCAAUCAAUUCACCUCUAUCAAAA